GUAACAGAGGUUUCGAUCCUGGCUCAGAUUGAACGCUGGCGGGAUAUUUACACAUGCAAGUCGAACGGCAGCACGGACUUCGGUCUGGUGGCGAGUGGCGAACGGGUGAGUAAUGUAUCGGAACGUACCUGGCAGAGGACGCUACGCGAAAGCUAAUACCGCAUACGCCCUUCGAAGCUUGGAGGACGCUGGGCCCUCGCACUAUUAGAGCAGCCGAUAUGGAUUAGCUAGUUGGUGGGGUAACGGCUCACCAAGGCGACGAUCCGUAGCUGGUUUGAGAGGACGACCAGCCACACGCUGGGACUGAGACGGCCCAGACUCCUACGGGAGGCAGCAGUGGGGGAAUUUUGGACGGGCAGGGGAAACCUGAUCUAAGCCAUCCCAGCGUGUGCGAUGAAGGCCUUCGGGUUAAAGCACUUUUUGUAGAGACGGCACAGGAUAAUACCCCGUGCAACUGACAGUACCUGGAAUAGCACCAAGCUAACACGUGCAGCAGCCGCGUGCAAUACGUAGGGUGCAAGCGUUAAUCGGAAUUACUGGGCGUAAAGCGUGCGCAGGCGGUUCGGAAAGAAAGAUGUGAAAUCCCAGAGCUUAACUUUGGAACUGCAUUUUUAACUACCGAGCUAGAGAGUGUCAGAGGGAGGUGGAAUUCCGCGUGUAGCAGUGAAAUGCGUAGAUAUGCGGAGGAACACCGAUGGCGAAGACGGCCUCCUGGGACAUUUUGGCGCUCAUGCACGAAAGCGUGGGAGCAAACAGGAUUAGAUACCUGGUAGUCCGCCUAAACGAUGUCAACUAGCCCAGGGCCUUCGGGCCUUGGUAGCGCAGCUAACGCGUGAGAUUGACCGCCUGGGGAAGCCGGUCGCAAGAUUAAAACUCGAAAUUGACAGGACCCGCACAAGCGGUGGAUGAUGUGGAUUAAUUCCGAUGCAACGCGAAAAGCCUUACCUACCCUUCCGGUAUGUGGAAUCCCGAAGAGAUUUGGGAGUGCUCGCAAGAGAACCGGAACACAGGUGCUGCAUGGCUGUCGUCAGCUCGUGUCGUGAGAUGUUGGGUUAAGUCCCGCAACAGGCGCAGCCUUGUCAUUAGUUGCUGCGAAGGGGCACUCUAAUGAGACUGCCGGUGACAAACCGGAGGAAGGUGGGGAUGACGUCAAGUCCUCAUAGCCCUUAUGGGUAGGAACCACGUCAUACAAUGGUCGGAACAGGGGGAUUCGCCAACGCGAGGAGCGCAAUCGAAACCCGAUCGUAGUCCGGAUCGCAGUCUGCAACUCGACUGCGUGAAGUCAGGUCGACCUUCGUAAUCGCGGAUCAGCAUGUCGCGGUGAAUACGUUCCCGGGUCUUGUACACCGCCCGUCACACCAUAGAAUUGGGUUUUACCAGAAGUAGUUAGCCUAACCGUAAGGAGGGCGAUUACCACGGUAAGUUCGCGACUGGGUGAAGUCGUAACAAGGUAG
rnacentral:rRNA from 1 species